GUAUAAUCUUGCAUGCAGUUGUAGUUCUGUGACUGCUAUUAAAGUAUUCUCAGAUUUGGCGUUAUUCAAUAUAUUUUCUAAAUCAUAUCAGUAGUCGAACCUACCGAUGGGGUUCUUUCCAUGUCUUGAUUUGGUCAAUGGUUGUUUUAUUUCGUUGGACACUUAAUUUCGUGGAUAAAGUCAUCCACGAAAACCACGAAAAUUGGUACCCCACG
rnacentral:lncRNA from 1 species